CAGAUGACUAGCAGGAAGGGGAGAUGUUUAUACGUGAAGAUGACUUGCUAACAUGGAAAAAGAGUUAUUUUCCCAGACACGCCACCUGCAAGUGUUCUGCAUUGGCUUAUGCUUAUGUGAGCUACUGAGAGAGCAUUGGCGUCUCAGGUCUCUGAGAAAACAUUGUGGCUGGUUAAACUGCUUCAUGGAUAGAAGGAUUUUACCCUGAAGUGGUGCAGCAGUUAGUGAAUUUGCACCUUGAGUGAAUCUGCUACUUAAUUGACAUUGACAGCUGAAUGUGUACCGUGGGCCACUGUUCCUCCCAAAGCCAUCAUCCCCUCCUGUCCACCCCAUGUCAAGACUUGUCUCUGUAGUGCCGGGUUAAAGCUUGGGCCAAACGUCCCAUAAAUGAUGUGUUCAUCAAUUAGUCAGUGGCCUUUAGCAGAGCUGUCAAACUGAGAAAUCAGUUAAGAAAGGUAAGAACAUUACACAAACAUUCAAGGUGUCGGGUUGAAGGUCUGUAAAGAGUCAUGAAAU
ensembl:lncRNA